AUCUGAUGAUGAGGGCAGCUUGCACACAAUCUCUUAAAUCUCUCUCAGUACUCAUAUAAGCUCUCACCAUGUUGUUGCCUGAUUCUAGAGAUGUCCUUUCUGAUUGU
rnacentral:snoRNA from 1 species